AGUGAGCGUCGCGACGCGCGCGCUUCGAACCAUUCGCCGGUCGUCGUUCGUCCCGAUUGGGAACGUGACGGGUUCGCACGUGCCGCGCAUUCCUUUCAGCGCUCGCUGUUUCGCUACUGUACCACGUGACUCUAGUGAGAACGGUUUAGCGCGCAUUUACGAUCAGAGUAUCCGUAACCUCAAAUCGUUUUGGUCAAUUUUUGAAUUUUUUUAUCGCCAUGUGAGUUUGUCCUUACCGUUUCCAACCUGGCGUUCGUAACGAUGUUCCGCUUCGCGUUGCAAAUGUUCAUUAGCGAAACGUGUCGAUUAACCUCCAUUACUGAUGCUCGAGAUUGCACACGAAAUUCGAUGCACGACAUGGUAACCGUCGGAAACAAUGUUAUUGAUCGAAGGGAGAACAGUAUCGAAUGUGUGCCGGUACGUGAUUCAAGAUUCAGUCGGUGUGCGAUCGUUUAAAGGAAAUGAACAUUGAUCGCUGUUGCGCUUACAAUGAGAUUCGACAAAAGAGGAUGAAUUACUUAUCCAAGUGGCCGAACAUCGGGAAACUGUAGUUAUAUGGUGACGCAGUAAUAUGAAGCUUCUUGUGUCAGUGCAGUGUGAAUUCUGGUACGUUGGUGGGUCAAGUAGUAUGCGAAAGGAAUUUUUGAGGAAACUGUGAAGAACGUAUUGUGCAACAAUGAACGAGCCGGAUCCCUGUUUGCCGCUGAUUCUACCACCCAGAUACAGGCUUCGCGAUCUGCUCUUGGGGGAUUAUGCCUUCAACGACGACGGCGAAA